GAUGAACGCUAGCGGCAGGCUUAAUACAUGCAAGUCGAGGGGUCAGCAAUGACACCGGCGGACGGGUGCGUAACGCGUAUGCAACCUACCUACAUCAGGGGGAUAGCCCUAGGAAACUGGGAUUAACACCGCAUAAUAUUAUUAAUGGCAUCAUUGAUAAUUGAAAUAUUUAUAGGAAGUAGAUGGGCAUGCGUAAGAUUAGCUAGUUGGUAAGGUAACGGCUUACCAAGGCUACGAUCUUUAGGGGCUCUGAGAGGAGUAUCCCCCACACUGGCACUGAGAUACGGGCCAGACUCCUACGGGAGGCAGCAGUAGGGAAUAUUGGGCAAUGGAGGCAACUCUGACCCAGCCAUGCCGCGUGCAGGAAGACGGCCCUCGUGGGUUGUAAACUGCUUUUGAAUGGGAAGAAUGUGUGGCUUGCGAGCUAUAAUGACGGUACCAUUAGAAUAAGCCACGGCUAACUACGUGCCAGCAGCCGCGGUAAAA
rnacentral:rRNA from 1 species